GAUUAUGGCUCAGGACGAACGCUGGCGGCGUGCCUAACACAUGCAAGUCGAGCGAGGAGAUUCCUUCGGGAUGAUCCUAGCGGCGGACGGGUGAGUAACACGUGGGCAACCUGCCUCAUAGAGAGGAAUAGCCUUCCGAAAGGGAGAUUAAUACCUCAUAACAUUGCAGUUUCGCAUGGAACAGCAAUUAAAGGAGUAAUCCGCUAUGAGAUGGGCCCGCGGCGCAUUAGCUAGUUGGUGAGGUAACGGCUCACCAAGGCGACGAUGCGUAGCCGACCUGAGAGGGUGAUCGGCCACAUUGGGACUGAGACACGGCCCAGACUCCUACGGGAGGCAGCAGUGGGGAAUAUUGCACAAUGGGGGAAACCCUGAUGCAAGCAACGCCGCGUGAGUGAUGACGGCCUUCGGGUUGUAAAGCUCUGUCUUCAGGGACGAUAAUGACGGUACCUGAGGAGGAAGCCACGGCUAACUACGUGCCAGCAGCCGC
rnacentral:rRNA from 1 species